rnacentral:rRNA from 1 species
UACGUAGGGAGCGAGCGUUGUCCGGAAUCAUUGGGCGUAAAGAGCUCGUAGGCGGCUUGGUAAGUCGGAUGUGAAACCUCCAGGCUCAACCUGGAGUCGCCAUCCGAUACUGCCAUAGCUAGAGUCCGGUAGGGGCCCACGGAAUUCCUGGUGUAGCGGUGAAAUGCGCAGAUAUCAGGAGGAACACCGGUGGCGAAGGCGGUGGGCUGGGCCGGCACUGACGCUGAGGAGCGAAAGCGUGGGGAGCGAACAGG